rnacentral:rRNA from 1 species
UGUUGCCAAGUCUUAAAGGGCACACGGUGAAUGCCUUGGCAAGAGGAGCCGAUGAAGGACGUGGGAGUCUGCGAAAAGCCUCGGGAAGGUGACAACCGACCUGUGAUCCGAGGAUGUCCGAAUGGGGAAACCCACCAGGGGUCAUGCCCUGGUACCCGCCACUGAAUGUAUAGGUGGUGUGGAGGGAACGCGGGGAAGUGAAACAUCUCAGUACCCGCAGGAAGAGAAAACAAAUAGUGAUUCCGUGAGUAGUGGCGAGCGAAAGCGGAUGAGGCUAAACCAAGCCUGUGUGAUACCCGGCAGGGGUUGCAGGUUGGGGGUUGUGGGACGUGCUGGACUGUUCUGCCGGACGGUCGACGUGAAUGUGUGAUGGUAGUCGAAGUCGUGUUGAGUGCGACGGCGUAGAGGGUGUGACCCCCGUAGACGAAACUGUUGCAUGGCGUUGAGUGCUGUUCCCGAGUAGCACCGGACCCGUGAAAUCCGGUGUGAAUCUGCCAGGACCACCUGGUAAGCCUGAAUACUACCUCUUGACCGAUAGCGGACAAGUACCGUGAGGGAAAGGUGAAAAGUACCCCGGGAGGGGAGUGAAAUAGUACCUGAAACCGUGUGCUUACAAUCCGUCGGAGCCUUACGGGGUGACGGCGUGCCUUUUGAAGAAUGAGCCUGCGAGUUAGUGGUCGGUGGCGAGGUUAACCCGUGUGGGGUAGCCGUAGCGAAAGCGAGUCUGAACGGGGCGUUCAGUCGCCGGCUCUAGACCCGAAGCGAAGUGAUCUAUCCAUGGGCAGUGUGAAGCGCGGGUAAGACCGCGUGGAGGCGCGAACCCACUUCAGUUGAAAAUGGAGGGGAUGACCUGUGGAUAGGGGUGAAAGGCCAAUCAAACUUCGUGAUAGCUGGUUCUCCCCGAAAUGCAUUUAGGUGCAGCGUUGCGUGUUUCGUGCCGGAGGUAGAGCACUGGAUAGGCGAUGGGCCCCACCGGGUUACUGACCUUAGCCAAACUCCGAAUGCCGGUACGUGAGAGCGCAGCAGUGAGACUGUGGGGGAUAAGCUUCAUAGUCGAGAGGGAAACAGCCCAGAACAUCAGCUAAGGCCCCUAAGCGUGUGCUAAGUGGAAAAGGAUGUGAAGUUGCUGAGACAACCAGGAGGUUGGCUUAGAAGCAGCCACCCUUGAAAGAGUGCGUAAUAGCUCACUGGUCAAGUGAUUUUGCGCCGACAAUGUAGCGGGGCUCAAGUACACCGCCGAAGCUGUGUCAUUCCGGUUCUGCCGGGAUGGGUAGGGGAGCGUCGAGCAGCCAGCGAAGCCGCGGGGGAACCCAGUGGUGGAGGCUGUUCGAGUGAGAAUGCAGGCAUGAGUAGCGAAAGACGGGUGAGAAACCCGUCCGCCGAAUGAUCAAGGGUUCCAGGGCUAGGUUAAUCCGCCCUGGGUUAGUCGGGACCUAAGGCGAGGCCGACAGGCGUAGUCGAUGGACAUCGGGUUGAUAUUCCCGAACCGAUCGUAGGAGGACCCAUACCGAGGCAGUCGAUGCUAACCACCCGAUCAGUCCUCUUGCCCUUCGGGGUGAGGGAUGCUGUGAGGCUGGGAACCAAGGUUGUAGUAGGUCAGCGCGAGGGAUGACGCAGAGAGGUAGCUUCCGCGGACUUAAUGGAAUAGUCCGUCUAAGCGUGCAGCCCGACCCCGGGUAAUGCUGGGGUCAUCAAGGGUGAGACGUGAUGGGGAUCCCGUAUGGGCGUAGGUGAGUGAUCCUGUACUGCCAAGAAAAGUUCCGGCGUGACGAAUACGGUCGCCCGUACCCUAAACCGACUCAGGUGAUCAGGUAGAGAAUACCAAGGCGUUCGAGAGAAUCGUGGUUAAGGAACUCGGCAAAAUGCCCCCGUAACUUCGGGAGAAGGGGGGCCUGAAGGGUGAGAGCCCUGAGGGCCGCAGAGACCAGGGAGAAGCGACUGUUUACUAAAAACACAGGUCCGUGCGAAGUCGUAAGACGCUGUAUACGGACUGACGCCUGCCCGGUGCUGGAAGGUUAAGAGGACCGGUUAGCUCUUUGGAGCGAAGCUGAGAAUUUAAGCCCCAGUAAACGGCGGUGGUAACUAUAACCAUCCUAAGGUAGCGAAAUUCCUUGUCGGGUAAGUUCCGACCUGCACGAAUGGCGUAACGACUUCUCCACUGUCUCAACCGCGAACUCGGCGAAAUUGCAUUACGAGUAAAGAUGCUCGUUACGCGCAGCAGGACGGAAAGACCCCGGGACCUUUACUAUAGUUUGGUAUUGGUGUUCGGAACGGCUUGUGUAGGAUAGGUGGGAGACUGGGAAGCAUUCACGCUAGUGAGUGUGGAGUCGUUGUUGAAAUACCACUCUGGUCGUUCUGGAUUCCUAACCUCGGUCCGUGAUCCGGAUCAGGGACAGUGCCUGAUGGGUAGUUUAACUGGGGCGGUUGCCUCCCAAAAAGUAACGGAGGCGCUCAAAGGUUCCCUCAGCCUGGUUGGCAAUCAGGUGUUGAGUGUAAGUGCACAAGGGAGCUUGACUGCGAGACAGACAUGUCGGGCAGGUGCGAAAGCAGGAACUAGUGAUCCGGCACCUCAUUGUGGAAUGGGUGUCGCUCAACGGAUAAAAGGUACCCCGGGGAUAACAGGCUGAUCUUGCCCAAGAGCUCAUAUCGACGGCAUGGUUUGGCACCUCGAUGUCGGCUCGUCGCAUCCUGGGGCUGGAGUUGGUCCCAAGGGUUAGGCUGUUCGCCUAUUAAAGCGGUACGCGAGCUGGGUUUAGAACGUCGUGAGACAGUUCGGUCCCUAUCCGCUGCGCGCGUUGGAUAUUUGAGAAGACCUGUCCCUAGUACGAGAGGACCGGGAUGGACUGACCUCUGGUGUGCCAGUUGUUCUGCCAAGAGCAUGGCUGGUUGGCUACGUCGGGAAGGGAUAACCGCUGAAAGCAUCUAAGCGGGAAGCCUGCUUCAAGAUGAGAUAUCCGUGCCCCUUGUGGGUGAGAGGCCCCCAGUAGAUGACUGGGUUGAUAGGCCAGAUGUGGAAGCACAGCAAUGUGUGGAGCUGACUGGUACUAAUGGCCGAUGACUUAUCAACAUCAAAGUUUU